AACUCCUACGGGAGGCAGCAGUGGGGAAUAUUGCACAAUGGGGGAAACCCUGAUGCAGCGACGCCGCGUGAGCGAAGAAGUAUUUCGGUAUGUAAAGCUCUAUCAGCAGGGAAGAUAAUGACGGUACCUGACUAAGAAGCCCCGGCUAACUACGUGCCAGCAGCCGCGGUAAUACGUAGGGGGCAAGCGUUAUCCGGAUUUACUGGGUGUAAAGGGAGCGUAGACGGCAAGGCAAGUCUGAUGUGAAAACCCAGGGCUUAACCCUGGGACUGCAUUGGAAACUGUCUGGCUCGAGUGCCGGAGAGGUAAGCGGAAUUCCUAGUGUAGCGGUGAAAUGCGUAGAUAUUAGGAAGAACACCAGUGGCGAAGGCGGCUUACUGGACGGUAACUGACGUUGAGGCUCGAAAGCGUGGGGAGCAAACAGGAUUAGAUACCCUGGUAGUCCACGCCGUAAACG
rnacentral:rRNA from 1 species